UUUUGAUACUUUAUAAAUUGCUCAGAUUUCACCAUGUGUACAUUUUUUUAUGACAUGGAACCAUUCCUCCCCAUUCAGUACCUCUAGGAUGUCUUGGUCAACGAGCACACAGUGCCACAACACUUUUGUUGAUUUACCCUGUGUGCUUUAAGUUAUUGUCUUGCUGGUAGUGGUGGGGGGAUCGAUCCAAAUAUCGACUGUAUCGAUACCAAGUCGGCAUCGGUAUCGGAUCGACACUAGCCUGGUGAGGUCGAUUCUUCACUUUAAGUUCCGCUCUUGUUUCCAAUGCUCUGCUUUCGGCAAAGACGAAACAGCCAGGUCACCGGACUCGCCGCUCCUGUGUCAGCGCAGAGCAGGCACACUUUGCUCCCCCUCCCCCCUCUUGUGUUUAGAUGUUGCGCCAUCACGUGAUGUGACUUAGACGCUUUGGGGGUAAUUAAGUUUUUUACAUAUUAUUUAUAUUUUCACAAGUCGUUGUUUUAUGUUUAUUAUAGUUUCUCAACAGUACUUGUUUGUUUUAAUUUGUUUACUGGUUUUUUGUGCACUUUUUUAUUUAAGAUUUUUCUGAAAAAAAAAUGAUAAUAAAGCAUUUUCUAUUUAAUUACAAACUUUGUCCUAAUUAUGUCCUGGGUUUUAACUAUUUAUUAAUAAAAAAGGAAACAUCACAAAAAACACUUAAGGUUAAUGACGCACGCACAUUAACGUGUGGGUUAGCCAACCUGUCCUACUCUUCGGGACUUGGUGUUCUUUGUGCACCAAACUCUAAAUACCUUGUGUACCUUCAAAUGGAGAAAACGUUCUUAUCAAGAAAUUAAACAUCCUAGCAAACAUCACUGAGAGAGCAGUCUUUUCCUCAUUGUGCAGAAGCUGAUAAAUUUGAACUGUGAUUCAGUAAUUUCACAAGAUUUUCUUCACAUAUCAUGGGGGAAAAACACCUCUAUUUGAUGAAAGUACUUUGAAUUCACUGUCUGGUUUUACUUUUUCUUUUUUAGCUCCCUGGAGAAAAAUGGGUUCCUAAUACAAGCAAGUAGGCCUACACAGAAAACUGUCAAAAAUAUUUAUGAGCUGUACUCUUCAACUCCUUAAGCAACUGUCUCCAUUAUAGAACAAAACCUUUUUUUUUAAUCUGCCUCUUCGUGUUUCUCAGAGAGCUUUCACCUUGUCCGGACAUGCUUGGCUUUUGAGCUUUUGUUGCUAUACUGCUCAGGUGUCAGUUUGACUGCCAAAAUGUUUUCAAUACUUAUUGAAUUAUUAGUACAUCUGGAACUUUCUUAGCCUGGAUAUAUUAUAAUAGGGCAAAAUCAAUGGGGCAAUAACGCAGUAAAACUAUAACUAACAACUUCUUUCAAAGGGGAAAAAAAUUAAAGCCUUUUUAAAAAAAAAUAAGCUUAUAUCUUAAAAAAAAGAUUUGAUUAGUGACUUUAUACAUGCAAAUUUUAUAUCAAGAAGGACCACUGAAUAAAUGGGAAUUUAUAUAAUGCAAAAUAAGUGCCCAAAAAGUGUCCAGGGGCAUUGUUUUGACAAGGACUUCUUUCCAGAGAACAGUCGACAUUUUAACUCUUUAAAAAUAAAAAACCGUCAAACAUUCAGUGCAAGUAGCAUUCAGCAGUGACUAGUUGCUACAGGUUUUGGGGGAUCAGAUAGUAGGUUCCAAACAAGAACAAACACAUUCAUCAUCACCAUCGUGUCCUUUCUUUGCGAAUGUGCCUAAUGAAAAAAAAACCUCUGACAUUUUCCAAUGAGCCAUCAUGAAAAUGUCAUGUUCUCAGUCACAGACAUUCGUCAUUGUUGGUUGUUCGCAGACCGCUGUCGAUGCUCCACGUCCUGCAGAUGAUGGUUCUGCGCGUACAUGAGACCGCCACAGGAGUCCGCUAUUUCAUAAAGGACAGCAAGGACAGUAAGAGCCGUUCCAACAAAAUACAGCUUGAGGGCCGUUAACACCAUGGCUGUGGC
ensembl:lncRNA